rnacentral:rRNA from 1 species
CUAGUAACGGCGAGUGAAGAGGGAAGAGCCCAAGAUUGAAAGCUGGCGUCUUCGGCGUCCGCAUUGUAAUCUCAAGAAGUGUUUUCCGCUUCGGACCAUGCCUAAGUCCCUUGGAAAAGGGCAUCAUAGAGGGUGAUAAUCCCGUACAUGGCAUGGAGCGCCCGAAGCUUUGUGAUACGCUUUCUAAGAGUCGAGUUGUUUGGGAAUGCAGCUCAAAAUGGGUGGUAAAUGCCAUCUAAGGCUAAAUAUUGGGGAGAGACCGAUAGCGAACAAGUACAGUGAUGGAAAGAUGAAAAGAACUUUGAAAAGAGAGUUAAACAGUACGUGAAAUUGCCAAAAGGGAAGGGUAGGAGGUCAGAGAUGCGUCUUGGGAUUCAGCCUUGCUUUUGCUUGGUGUUUUUCCCAAGUUGCAGGCCAACGUCGGUUUUGGGCACUGGAGAAGGGUGGAAGGAACGUGGCACCUCUCGGGGUGUGUUAU